GUCCGUCGUGUCACUGUAGCGCGUUGGACUUCUAAUCCAAAGGUCGUGGGUUCGAACCCACCUGGGAUG